AAGUUAUUUAAUUACAAUUAAUCUUGUCACGUUUAUCGUCUUUUCAAAGGAUUAAGUUUACAUUUUAAGCAUUUUAUGUCCGAUAAAGUGUGAAUUCAGAAUUGUGAAAUUAAGACUUUUUUUGAUGAACUAAUAAAGAAUGUCACAUUGGUUCUCAUCCAGGCCAAGACUUGCCAUAAGGGGCAGUUGAGAACCCUCGUAGUUUACCAAAGAUGCAGGUUGCAGACAGUCACUGAUCUCCGACCUGGCAAACUGUAUGGUGCUAGAUGGGGUAUGAAGGAGAGCUCCCCUAUGCCCCAGAAACAAAAAAUUAGGAUAAAUGCUUCACACACUUCCAGAUCCCUUAGGAAUCUAGACACAAUUUCUCUCUUUUUUUGUGUGUGUAGGAUUGUGUACAUUAGUGUGUGUAAGUGUGUAUUGUGCAUGAAGGUUUCUUCUUCAAUAUGGAGAUUCUUCUUCAAUAUAAAUAGUGUCUAUCGCUCCAUAGUGCAGGGUAUAUAGCAAUUUACUGUUAGUUUUUCUCUGUCCCUCUGGGAUCCCGAUAUGUGGUCCUCUAUUAGUUGUGUCCAGGGCCAAGGCUAGGAUUUCUGGCUACACAGGAGAAGAUACCGUUUUUUCACCCAUGCCACAAAAUACUGUGAGUCGUAUUGCUUUGAAGCUUUGAGUGAGCCUCAUUUAACUUGACAUUAACAUUCACAGUAAUGUACAGUGUGUAUGAUUGUAAUUAUUCCCAGUAAUGUGCAUAGCUAUAACACACAACACGGGGUAAUGACAGAGCUCCACUGUAAUAAAUGGGGGGAGGUUAACAGGGGGGUAUAUGACAGUGUUCAUGGGUGGUGUGACGAGACCAAUCUCGCCACAUUGCAUUGGAGAAGCCGGGUUGCUCGCCUGUUGCCUUAGGAUUAUGG